rnacentral:rRNA from 1 species
UGGCCCGGACGAAGCUGGCGGCGUGCUUACACAUGCAAGUCGAACGGAGGACUAAGAGGAAAGCUUGCGAAUCCUAGUCCCUAGUGGCGGACGGGUGAGUAACACGUGGAUAACCUGCCUGUAAGACCGGGACAACACCUGGAAACGGGUGCUAAUACCGGGUAAGCUCUUUUCGCCGCAUGGUGAGAAGAGGAGAGGGGAAACCCGCUUACAGAUGGAUCCGCGGCCCAUUAGCUAGUUGGCGGUGUAACGGACCACCAAGGCGACGAUGGGUAGCCGGCCUGAGAGGGUGAUCGGCCACACUGGAACUGAGACACGGUCCAGACUCCUACGGGAGGCAGCAGUGGGGAAUCUUCCGCAAUGGGCGAAAGCCUGACGGAGCAACGCCGCGUGAAUGAUGAAGGCCUUCGGGUUGUAAAAUUCUGUCUUUCAGGGGAAAAAAAAAAUGACGGUACCUGAAGAGGAAAGCCCCGGCUAAACUACGUUGCCAGCAGCCGCGGUAAUACGUAGGGGGCGAGCGUUUGUCCGGAAUUUACUGGGGCGUAAAGGGCGCGUAGGCGGUUUAUUAAGUCAAAGGUGAAAAGCUCCCGGCUCAACCGGGGGGAAUGCCUUUUGAAAACUGGGAAGACUUGAGGGCAGGAGAAGGGGAGUGGAAAUUCCCGGUGUAGCGGGUGAAAUGCGUAGAUUAUCGGGAGGAACACCCAGUGGGCGAAGGCGACUCUCUGGCCUGUUACUGACGCUGAGGCGCGAAAGCCGUGGGGGAUCAAACAGGAUUAGAUACCCUGGUAGUCCACGCCGUAAC